rnacentral:tRNA from 1 species
GCUUGAUAAGCUCAGUCAGUAGAGCAUGAGACUCUUAAUCUCAGGGUCAUGGGUUCCUUUCCCACAUUGGGCG